UAGGGAAUAUUGCAAAAUGGGCGAAAGCCCGAUGCAGCAACGCCGCGUGGGCGAUGAAGGCCUUCGGGUCGUAAAGCCCUUUUUGAGGGGAUGAGGAAGGACAGUACCCUCAGAAUAAGCCUCGGCUAACUACGUGCCAGCAGCCGCGGUAAAACGUAGGAGGCGAGCGUUAUCCGGAUUUACUGGGCGUAAAGCGCGUGCAGGCGGAUUGGAGAGUUGGAUGUGAAAGCUCCCGGCUUAACUGGGAGAGGUCGUUCAAUACUUCCAGUCUUGAGUGCAGUAGAGGGAAGUGGAAUUCCUGGUGUAGUGGUGAGAUGCGUAGAUAUCCGGAGGAACACCAGUGGCGAAAGCGGCUUCCUGGACUGUAACUGACGCUCAGACGCGAAAGCUAGGGUAGCAAACG
rnacentral:rRNA from 1 species